rnacentral:rRNA from 1 species
UACGUAGGGUGCAAGCGUUGUCCGGAAUUAUUGGGCGUAAAGAGCUCGUAGGCGGUCUGUCGCGUCGGCUGUGAAAACCCGAGGCUCAACCUCGGGCCUGCAGUCGAUACGGGCAAACUAGAGUACUGCAGGGGAGACUGGAAUUCCUGGUGUAGCGGUGAAAUGCGCAGAUAUCAGGAGGAACACCGGUGGCGAAGGCGGGUCUCUGGGACGGUACUGACGCUGAGACGCGAAAGCGUGGGGAGCGAACAGG